GAGAGGACAGCUUAAGAUCAGACGGCUGAGGGACAGUGGUAGAACCUGCGGAGUAGGUGGGGAGCUCACCCGCAAGGAGGAAGGGGACCGCGGCUGCCCGAGAGUGAGGAGAAGCGUGGGGUCCAGGUGUCAGACCACCAGCACCUUCUGUAGCUAAAACGGCAAAGCCGGCGGAAGCACCCGCUGCGACGGCGACACUGCGCGCAGGUGGCAGUAUAGAAGCCAAAAUGGAAUCUUCUAGAAGUGGUUUCUGAAAAAUAAGUACAUAUACACAAGUAAGCAAGCACAAGAAUCUGAAAAACCACAGGCUGUGGAUGGGAUGUCAGGCAAAUGGAGUUGAAUUCAUGUCAGAAUUACCUGCAAAGUCCACAAAUGGUAAGUCAAGUUAAUAGUUUACUAGGAUUUUAUGGCUUGCUUUUUACUUACUUCAGUUGCUUUCCAUUUAACCUUUAAUAGGAACAUACUUAAGUUUGUUAAUGUUUUAUGGUAU